AUCACCCGCCUUGCCAAAGAGCUGCAUGAUGCAUGAACGGAACUGAAAGGUUGAACCAUAUCAGUUUCGGACAGAGAACAACCAAACGUACAGCGCGGAUGGCGAGCCAGACAGCAAUGUAGCAGAGGAUGAUGAUACCCAGGGGAAGGAAGCAGCAGGUGACCAUCAGGACAACCAUAGCAAAAGGACACGACUGCCAAGAGACGACGGCUCCACACCAUCCUGAAGAUGGAAUCCUGGCCAUCAUUGAUAACAGUCUGUACAUUUUACCAUUAUUGAAUUUAUGAUUGACUAACUAUGAAAGAAACUUUGGAAUGUGCAGUAUUAUUGUUGGAGUGUUGUGUGGUUAUCUUAGUAUAACAAGUUUAAGACUAACAAUCUCCAAGAUCUUUAGCUACUCAAAUGUUGUGCUGUAUGUCUUGUUUUGUUAGGAGUUAAAACUUGUUCUAUGUAAAGGGUGUUAGACAUACUUUAUUGUGUAUGAAAAUGAAUGGGUGUCUGGGUGUCUGACUGUCAUAAUUAAUUUAGCAUAAAAAAAAUAAUGUAAAAAGUAUCAAAAAAUGUGUAAUAUAGUCGCUGACAUUAUUAUCAAAGGAAAUAUUACAUUUCUAUGCAUGUGUCUAUGAAUCAGGCUUUUCCCCCCCAUGUUGAUGUAAACAGAUGUUGAUGGUUCAUCCAUUGAUGAACAUCAACGGAUGUUGAUGAGGGUUUCCAAAUGAACUCUGCCUCCCAACUCGCCCUCUCAUCCGACCUUUCUGCGGGAGUAUGUCUGGAAUUCCGCUAGUUCUGAACUAUUCAUGAUUGGCAAAAGUUCACUACUAGCAGAACUCGGAUUUGCACCCGGCUCUCAGCUAUUUAGACUGCCCUCCAAGGGGCACCGGACACCUGGUAUGUUCUGACACUGAAAAAUAAACAUUAAAUUGAUGCAUUCAAAAGACUCCAUGCAUAAGGAAUUCAGACCAUGCCAUUUGUGUGAAGACAACAAGGACAGCUUUUGUAUGUGAUCAGUACCUUGUUUUCUUCUCACAGUUUUAUGGUUUUAAUCCCUUAGAGUUUAACUAACGAAUCCAGCUAUGAUGAAGAUACUGUUAUAAGAUACUAAAUAUUUCUUUUAUUCAUGCAGUUAAUUUGUUUUAGGUACUGGAAAAUAAUUGCACUUCAGAAAUAUUCUGCACUGGAUUGGCUAUGCCAGUAACCUUGUCGAGCUACUUGUUGGUAAUGUCAAACCUUCUAUCAUUUUGUACAUUUUGAGAGCAUGCAGUGUUAUUAGAUUGCACCGCCGAAACUAGGCUACAAGUGUCUACAAAUGAUUUAAGUAACCACAAACAAUGUUACUGUUGUGUUUACAGUGGGAUAGGAUCAUCCUUGAUCAAUUUAUAUGCCAUGGUAAUCUCUGUUGAAUUAUUUUAAUUCAUAAAAUGGCUGCAACU